rnacentral:rRNA from 1 species
GACGGAGGGUGCAAGCGUUGUUCGGAUUGACUGGGCGUAAAGGGCGUGUAGGCGGUUUGUCAAGUCCGAUGUGAAAGCCCGGGGCUCAGCUUCGGAAGUGCAUCGGAAACUAGCCAGCUGGAGCGCGAUAGAGGAGGGCGGAAUUCCUGGUGUAGCGGUGAAAUGCGUAGAUAUCAGGAGGAACACCGGCGGCGAAGGCGGCCCUCUGGAUCGUUGCUGACGCUGAGACGCGAAAGCGUGGGGAGCAAACAGG